rnacentral:sRNA from 1 species
UCUCUACAACUCAGCGAGCAACAUGCGCUUCAAAAGCCAGCUCAGCGACGUGAAAACCUUUGCCAAAUUUACCGCCUCUUUAUCAUCUCUAGGCAAAAUAUGUUGGGUUCGACUGGAAGAUGAAGCUGUCCGCUUUACGAUCAUCCCAGACCAGGGAACCCAGGUCUGGGCUCAGUUGCCAAUUGGCAUAGUCUUUGAGUCUUACUCCAUAAGUGCCGCCGCAGGCGUUAUCAAUCUCGAAGUCCCCAUCAGCGCCCUCCACAGGGCUCUCCGCUCUGCAAUAGGUGCAACCUCAGCUCAGCUGCGGUUGACCAAGAAGGGACCUGUCCCGUUGCUUGCACUGUCAAUCGUAACUUCGUCAUGGACCUCAGGGAAGAACGCCCUGGGUGUGGGGAACAGCAACAACAGCGACAACGGGAUGCCGCCACCAGGCAGCACCACACAACUACAUGGAAACCAACCCGACGGCCCUCAUGAACGAGAAACCAUCAUAACUCAAGAAAUCCCCGUUCGCGUCCUUCUGCCCGCGACCGUGGAAGGGCUGCACGAACCCCGUUGCCGCAGCCCGGAUGUUUUCAUCGUUCUCCCCAGCCUGAUGCAGUUAAAAAGCAUCUCAGA